rnacentral:rRNA from 1 species
GAGUGGACGUUACUCGCAGAAUAAGCACCGGCUAACUCUGUGCCAGCAGCCGCGGUAAUACAGAGGGUGCGAGCGUUAAUCGGAUUUACUGGGCGUAAAGCGUGCGUAGGCGGCUUUUUAAGUCGGAUGUGAAAUCCCUGAGCUUAACUUAGGAAUUGCAUUCGAUACUGGAAAGCUAGAGUAUGGGAGAGGAUGGUAGAAUUCCAGGUGUAGCGGUGAAAUGCGUAGAGAUCUGGAGGAAUACCGAUGGCGAAGGCAGCCAUCUGGCCUAAUACUGACGCUGAGGUACGAAAGCAUGGGGAGCAAACAGGAUUAGAUACCCUGGUAGUCCAUGCCGUAAACGAUGUCUACUAGCCGUUGGGGCCUUUGAGGCUUUAGUGGCGCAGCUAACGCGAUAAGUAGACCGCCUGGGGAGUACGGUCGCAAGACUAAAACUCAAAUGAAUUGACGGGGGCCCGCACAAGCGGUGGAGCAUGUGGUUUAAUUCGAUGCAACGCGAAGAACCUUACCUGGCCUUGACAUACUAAGAACUUUCCAGAGAUGGAUUGGUGCCUUCGGGAACUUAGAUACAGGUGCUGCAUGGCUGUCGUCAGCUCGUGUCGUGAGAUGUUGGGUUAAGUCCCGCAACGAGCGCAACCCUUUUCCUUAUUUGCCAGCGGGUCAUGCCGGGAACUUUAAGGAUACUGCCAGUGACAAACUGGAGGAAGGCGGGGACGACGUCAAGUCAUCAUGGCCCUUACGGCCAGGGCUACACACGUGCUACAAUGGUCGGUACAAAGGGUUGCUACCUCGCGAGAGGAUGCUAAUCUCAAAAAGCCGAUCGUAGUCCGGAUCGCAGUCUGCAACUCGACUGCGUGAAGUCGGAAUCGCUAGUAAUCGCGGAUCAGAAUGCCGCGGUGAAUACGUUCCCGGGCCUUGUACACACCGCCCGUCACACCAUGGGAGUUUGUUGCACCAGAAGUAGGUAGUCUAACCGCAAGGAGGACGCUUACCACGGUGUGGCAGAUGACUGGGGUGAAGUCGUAACAAGGUAGCCGUAGGGGAACCUGCGGCUGGAUCACCU